GCCCGGUUAGCUCAAUCGGUAGAGCGUGUGGCUGUAAGUUUUCCACUCCAACCCGGUCAUUGCGCUGGAAUCCAUCAACUAACAUUAUCUCCCCAGUUUAUGAAGCACACCUCAAGGUUGCGAGUUCGAGCCUCGCAUCGGGCG